rnacentral:tRNA from 1 species
UGGCUUAGUGGUAAAGUCCUUGCCUAGCAUGCAUGAAGCCCUGGGUUAGAGUCCCAG